CCCGCCCACUUCUGUUUGCCCCGCCCUGACCUCGCCCCCCCUCCGGCAGGCGGGAGGGCGGGGCUCACCUUCCCGGAAGUGAUCUUGCCAGGGAAGUCUAUGGCCUCUGGGUUGGGAAGGAAAGGACUAGGGGUCAGACAGCUCAGGAUCCCAGGGCCUGUGGUGUCUUAUUCUGGUUUUUGUUGUUUUUCUCAGAGGAAUUGAAAACCCCAAAAGGGAGAGAAAGAUGCACUCACAAAAAAAUUUUUUUGAAAGAGAAAAAUGAGUUUGCUAGCAAUUCUUUUCAUGAUUCUUUUGAAAUCGUUUCUGCUCUGUGACCCUGACAAGCCUCCCAUCUCACGUUUUUGUUUUUCUUUAUUGAUGUCUUAGUGUCAUAAUGAGUAGCAGCCUCUGCCUCUGCGCGAUGAGAUUAUAGGCAUGCGCACCAGAGGCCCAGGUUUCUUGGGUGUCUCACAACCCCGGUGUUCUGAAUCUGAGUUGUGUCUCUCUUGUGGAUUCUGUUCCUUUGUGAGCAAACACUCCCACGUUCUCUGCUCCGUGGUUGAGCUCUGACUAUGCUUUUCCACAAGACUGCCUGCUUUAGAAACCGAGAAGGGAAUAUGCUACUUUCUCUCUUGGCUUACCAUUUAACACAUGACGAAACUCAUGGGGAGCCUUGUUAAAUGGACUGCAGCUUGCUCCCACAGUCCUACCUCAGCUUCCCAAGUGCUGGAAUUACAGAAGUGAACCACCA